rnacentral:rRNA from 1 species
AGAUUAAGUUAUUAAGGGCGCACGGUGGAUGCCUUGGCACUAGAAGCCAAUGAAGGACGUUACUAACGACGAUAUGCUUUGGGGAGCUGUAAGUAAGCUUUGAUCCAGAGAUUUCCGAAUGGGGAAACCCAGCAUGAGUUAUGUCAUGUUAUCGAUAUGUGAAUACAUAGCAUAUCAGAAGGCACACCCGGAGAACUGAAACAUCUUAGUACCCGGAGGAAGAGAAAGAAAAUUCGAUUCCCUUAGUAGCGGCGAGCGAAACGGGAAGAGCCCAAACCAACAAGCUUGCUUGUUGGGGUUGUAGGACACUCUAUACGGAGUUACAAAGGACGACAUUAGACGAAUCAUCUGGAAAGAUGAAUCAAAGAAGGUAAUAAUCCUGUAGUCGAAAAUGUUGUCUCUCUUGAGUGGAUCCUGAGUACGACGGAGCACGUGAAAUUCCGUCGGAAUCUGGGAGGACCAUCUCCUAAGGCUAAAUACUCUCUAGUGACCGAUAGUGAACCAGUACCGUGAGGGAAAGGUGAAAAGCACCCCGGAAGGGGAGUGAAAUAGAACCUGAAACCGUGUGCUUACAAGUAGUCAGAGCCCGUUAAUGGGUGAUGGCGUGCCUUUUGUAGAAUGAACCGGCGAGUUACGAUUUGAUGCAAGGUUAAGCAGUAAAUGUGGAGCCGUAGCGAAAGCGAGUCUGAAUAGGGCGUUUAGUAUUUGGUCGUAGACCCGAAACCAGGUGAUCUACCCUUGGUCAGGUUGAAGUUCAGGUAACACUGAAUGGAGGACCGAACCGACUUACGUUGAAAAGUGAGCGGAUGAACUGAGGGUAGCGGAGAAAUUCCAAUCGAACCUGGAGAUAGCUGGUUCUCUCCGAAAUAGCUUUAGGGCUAGCCUCAAGUGAUGAUUAUUGGAGGUAGAGCACUGUUUGGACGAGGGGCCCCUCUCGGGUUACCGAAUUCAGACAAACUCCGAAUGCCAAUUAAUUUAACUUGGGAGUCAGAACAUGGGUGAUAAGGUCCGUGUUCGAAAGGGAAACAGCCCAGACCACCAGCUAAGGUCCCAAAAUAUAUGUUAAGUGGAAAAGGAUGUGGCGUUGCCCAGACAACUAGGAUGUUGGCUUAGAAGCAGCCAUCAUUUAAAGAGUGCGUAAUAGCUCACUAGUCGAGUGACACUGCGCCGAAAAUGUACCGGGGCUAAACAUAUUACCGAAGCUGUGGAUUGUCCUUUGGACAAUGGUAGGAGAGCGUUCUAAGGGCGUUGAAGCAUGAUCGUAAGGACAUGUGGAGCGCUUAGAAGUGAGAAUGCCGGUGUGAGUAGCGAAAGACGGGUGAGAAUCCCGUCCACCGAUUGACUAAGGUUUCCAGAGGAAGGCUCGUCCGCUCUGGGUUAGUCGGGUCCUAAGCUGAGGCCGACAGGCGUAGGCGAUGGAUAACAGGUUGAUAUUCCUGUACCACCUAUAAUCGUUUUAAUCGAUGGGGGGACGCAGUAGGAUAGGCGAAGCGUGCGAUUGGAUUGCACGUCUAAGCAGUAAGGCUGAGUAUUAGGCAAAUCCGGUACUCGUUAAGGCUGAGCUGUGAUGGGGAGAAGACAUUG